rnacentral:rRNA from 1 species
UACGUAGGGUGCGAGCGUUUAAUCGGAAUUACUGGGCGUAAAGCGUGCGCAGGCGGUUCGUUAAGUUCGAUGUGAAAGCCCCGGGCUCAACCUGGGAACUGCAUUGGAAACUGGCGAGCUUGAGUGUGGCAGAGGGGGGGUGGAAUUCCGCGUGUAGCAGUGAAAUGCGUAGAUAUGCGGAGGAACACCGAUGGCGAAGGCAAUCCCCCUGGACCUGUACUGACGCUCAUGCACGAAAAGCGUGGGGAGCAAAC